rnacentral:rRNA from 1 species
AGUGAACGCUGGCGGUAGGCCUAACACAUGCAAGUCGAACGGCAGCACAGUAAGAGCUUGCUCUUACGGGUGGCGAGUGACGGACGGGUGAGGAAUACAUCGGAAUCUACUUUUUCGUGGGGGAUAACGUAGGGAAACUUACGCUAAUACCGCAUACGACCUACGGGUGAAAGCAGGGGAUCUUCGGACCUUGCGCGAUUGAAUGAGCCGAUGUCGGAUUAGCUAGUUGGCGGGGUAAAGGCCCACCAAGGCGACGAUCCGUAGCUGGUCUGAGAGGAUGAUCAGCCACACCGGAACUGAGACACGGUCCAGGCUCCUACGGGGGGCAGCAGUGGGGAAUAUUGGACAAUGGGCGCAAGCCUGAUCCAGCCAUACCGGGUGGGUGAAGAAGGCCUUCGGGUUGUAAAGCCCUUUUGUUGGGAAAGAAAAGCAGCAGGUUAAUACCCCGCUGUUCUGACGGUACCCAAAGAAUAAGCACCGGCUAACUUCGUG